UGCGGAAGGAUCAUUGUUGAGAUUUGAGAAAAUAAUAUUGAGAACAUGUCAAUCAAUUGUAAGGCAUGCUAUCCCAUCCAUUCUAUUGGUGGUGUAGGCAGCCAAGUGAUUUCGGGCACGGUAUGUGUCAAGAAAAUAAAUCGUUCUCGGUGGUGUUGUUUUGGUUGGGGUUGAAGUGCACCUGGCUAAUGCACACUUGCCGUGCGUGGUAGUUUGACAAAUAUUAAAAAUAUGACUCUCGGCAACGGAUAUCUAGGCUCUUGCAUCGAUGAAGAACGUAGCGAAAUGCGAUACUUGAUGUGAAUUGCAGAAUCCCGUGAACCAUCGAGUCUUUGAACGCGAGUUGCGCCUAAGACAUUUUUGUCGAGGGCAUGCCUGCCUGGGCGUCACACAUUAUGUUGCUCCUAUCAUUUUUAAUGAACUGUUAAGAUGGAAGCAAGGAUUGGUUCACCAUCUCUGUAUAGAUGUGGUGAGCUUAAGUAUGAAUAUACGACUAUGUAUGAGUGAAUAACAAGUGGUGGGCAAAAGAAAUGUUUCUUAUGUAACCGAUGUUGUUUACUUCAUGUCAUAUACUUGCACCGUGGGUGCAGAAGGGACCCUUGAUGAGUGGAUUCAUUGGCAACCAAUUGAGGAUGUCAUUGAUAUUUGCGCUUGUGAUGUGACCUCAGGUCAGGCGGGAUACCCCGCUGAGUUUAAGCAUAUCAAUAAG
rnacentral:rRNA from 1 species